rnacentral:rRNA from 1 species
CGGACGGGUGAGUAAUGUCUGGGAAACUGCCUGAUGGAGGGGGAUAACUACUGGAAACGGUAGCUAAUACCGCAUAACGUCGCAAGACCAAAGAGGGGGACCUUCGGGCCUCUUGCCAUCGGAUGUGCCCAGAUGGGAUUAGCUAGUAGGUGGGGUAAAGGCUCACCUAGGCGACGAUCCCUAGCUGGUCUGAGAGGAUGACCAGCCACACUGGAGCUGAGACACGGUCCAG